UACAGAGGGUGCGAGCGUUGUCCGGAAUCACUGGGCGUAAAGGGCGCGUAGGCGGCUUGAUAAGCGUGCGGUGAAAGCCCGGGGCUCAACCCCGGGUCGGCCGUGCGAACUGUCGAGCUGGAGCACUGUAGAGGCAGGUGGAAUUCCGGGUGUAGCGGUGGAAUGCGUAGAGAUCCGGAAGAACACCGGUGGCGAAGGCGGCCUGCUGGGCAGUGGCUGAUGCUGAGGCGCGGACAGCGUGGGAGCAAACAGG
rnacentral:rRNA from 1 species